rnacentral:tRNA from 1 species
CCUGGUGGCUCAGAGGUUAAAGCGUCUGCCUGGAAUUUGGGAGACCCAGGUUCAAUUCCUGGGUCAGGA